rnacentral:rRNA from 1 species
GAUGAACGCUGGCGGCGUGCCUAAUACAUGCAAGUCGAGCGAACAGACGAGAAGCUUGCUCCUCUGAUGUUAGCGGCGGACGGGUGAGUAACACGUGGAUAACCUACCUAUAAGACUGGGAUAACUUCGGGAAACCGUAGCUAAUACCGGAUAAUAUUUUGAACCGCAUGGUUCAAAAGUGAAAGACGGUCUUGCUGUCACUUAUAGAUGGAUCCGCGCUGCAUUAGCUAGUUGGUAAGGUAACGGCUUACCAAGGCAACGAUGCGUAGCCGACCUGAGAGGGUGAUCGGCCACACUGGAACUGAGACACGGUCCAGACUCCUACGGGAGGCAGCAGUAGGGAAUCUUCCGCAAUGGGCGAAAGCCUGACGGAGCAACGCCGCGUGAGUGAUGAAGGUCUUCGGAUCGUAAAACUCUGUUAUUAGGGAAGAACAAAUGUGUAAGUAACUAUGCACAUCUUGACGGUACCUAAUCAGAAAGCCACGGCUAACUACGUG